rnacentral:ncRNA from 1 species
GUAAAAGCAAUGAACGGGUAAAGUAAUCGUUCCCCAGAUUUCAGAGAGCUGUUGGUUGGUGCAAAACAGUAUCUGUGACCGGUGAAACUCGCCCGGGAGCUGUGGACUGAAAUUUUCCAGUAGGUUCUACCGGUUGUCCCCCGUUAUAGGGAAGGCAUAUUGUUUGAUAUGCACUGAGUGGUCGUCUACGGACGGCAAUGAGAGUGGUAACGCGGAGUUUCUAGCUUCGUCUCUUAA